rnacentral:rRNA from 1 species
GGGCGCAGCAAUCAGGAAUCGUGGGCUAUGGGCGAAAGCCUGACCCCGCGACGCCGCGUGCGGGAAGAAGCUCUUCGGAGUGUAAACCGCUGUGGCAGGGGAUGAAGUUCCGAGCAAACUCGGAAUUGACAGUACCCUGCUAGAAAGGGGUCGCUAACUGCGUGCCAGAAGCGUCGGUAAAACGUGGACCCCAAGCGUUAUCCGGUUUUACUGGGCGUAAAGUGUCGUGUAGGCGGUUAAGGAAGUCGUGAUUCAAAGCCCAAGACUUAAUCUUGGGAAGGGUCACGAUACUCCUUAACUAGAGGUUACUCUAGGGAGACUGGAAUUCCGGGAGGAGCGGUGAAAUGCGUUGAUACCCGGAAGAACACCAGUGGCGAAGGCGAGUCUCUGGGAGUAACCUGACGCUGAGGCACGAAAGCUAGGGGAGCGAACCGGAUUAGAGACCCGGGUAGUCCUAGCCCUAAACGCAUGCUGGCUAUCUGCAUUUCUCUCACGUGAGUGAGAGGGGUGUGGUGAAGCUAACGCGUUAAGCCAGCCGCCUGGGGAGUACGGCCGCAAGGCUUGAAACUCAAAGGAAUUGGCGGGGAGGCACACAACCAGUUGGAGCAUGUGGUUCAAUUCGAGACGAACCGAAGAACCUCACCAGGGCUUGACAUGCUAGUGGUACUAACCCGAAAGGGAAGGGACCUCAGCUUUGCUGAGGAGCUAGCACAGGUGCUGCAUGGCUGUCGUCAGCUCGUUCCGUGAGGAGUGCCCUUAAGUGGGACAACGAGCGCAACCCCCGCCCUGUGUUACAAGUGUCACAGGGGACAGGUCCGGCAUAUAGCCGGACAGGAAGGAGGGGUCGACGUCAAGUCAGCAUGGCCCUUAUGCCCUGGGCUACACACAUGCUACAAUGAGCAGUACAAUGGGUUGCGAACCCGCGAGGGGGAGCUAAUCCCAAAAAACUGCUCUCAGUGGGGAUUGCAGGCUGAAACCCGCCUGCAUGAACCCGGAAUUGGUAGUAAUCGGGGAUCAGCCAUGCCCCGGUGAAUACGUUCUUGCCUCUUGUCACACACCGUCCCGUCAAGCCACCAAAGUCGGGAAUUGCCGAAUCGUCCCGUCUAAGCGGGUGAGAGGCAGUU